rnacentral:tRNA from 1 species
GCGCCCUUAGCUCAGUUGGAUAGAGCGUCUGGCUACGGACCAGAAGGCCGGGGGUUCGAAUCCCUCAGGGCGUACCA